ACCAGCACGUGCGUGGGAUCUCCGAGGUGUAGGGUACUUUUAGUAGCAGAAUCUGACUGCAGAGAACAGGACAAUACCCAGUGGCUGGGGACAGAACUUUAUGUUAGCUAAAGUCUCAGGUGCUUCCAUUUUGUUUCAGAGACUUAGAGAGGAGUGGAAGAACCAGGGUAAGCGAAAAGAAGUCAGGAUGUGGAGGAAGCCGACUACGGCAAACUUACUGCAACCACAGAGGAGACCAGAGGACCGAAGACGAGCAGCCAGGUCAUCUGCUAGAAGACUCCACUCAAAAGUUUGAGAAAUGAAGACUUUUCUGUUAUUUGUGGUGUUAGGAACCCUUUCGCUAGUUUCCCACUGAUCAUAAACGCCCAUCUACUUUCGUGGCCCAAGGAAGAUAUCUGAGAAUGCCUUCUAGGAAGCAAAUAGGGAUUUGUCCAGCAUUUGGUGUUGACAGGUAUCUGUGCCACUAAUGUCAGCCUCCCACUGUGCACCCAGGCCCAUUUUUCUAGAUCUCUUUCUGUAGAUCUCCAGUGGUCUAUGAUAGCCAGACCUGGAUGCCUAGUUCUGCGAGGCAAGACCAGAAAACAGGCAGCCACCCUGAGCAAGCACUAGAUGGAGAAGCUGCUGGGUGCAGACCAGGAGAAAUGCAAGAUUGGACCAUUGACAGAACAUUGACUUCUUCCAAAGAGAAGAACUGGAGCCUAAGAUUUAACGUUGAACACCAGACAGUCCUACACCAGCAUAUGCACUGGAGGUAGAAUCGGCUGGAGAGGAGGAAACUCAAGGCUUGAUCACUGACUGGCCACUGACUGCUUCAAAACAGAGGAGUCCUGAGAUGGUGGGCACCUCAGCUCUCCAUCUCCUUCCCCUUUUUCUCCUGCUUCCAUCAGUUUCCUGUACUUUCCUUCUUCCCUUCUUUGGAUUUUUGUCUUUAGUCAUUUUUGGUGGUUUCUGAUGAAGGAACAGAGCUACUAGCUGUGGCACUCAGAUAAAACUAAAAUGGAGGCUAAGCUGUCAGUGAAUCACUUUUGCUCUCUCUGAAGGAAGGAGAAACAUUGUUGGACUCUGCUUUGGUUUGUGUGUGUGUUGUUGAUUUUUUUCAAAUAGGAAAGGCGGAGAAGAGCAAUGCAUGUUCUUUUCAGUGGGGCAACAGUGCCAUCAUGUGGAAAGUGUUUCCUUUAUCCUUGUGCAUGUAUGCAUUGCUUCCUCAAGACUAUUUCCAGCCAUAUUUGAAAGUGUGGGUCAAAACGAUUCUCAAGUGGCCUAGCCUUACCUCCUUCCGUUUUCUACUUUUUUCGUGUAGGCAGACUCGAGUCUUGGGUCCUUCAGAGACUUAAUAUAGACCUUAGUGUCCUAGUGCCCAGUUACUAGUACACAGCUGUCCUGAGAUCCAGGAACAGGACGUGGAGGGGCGGGGUUUACACUGCUCAGAUCGCAAAUUGAAUCUAUUAGCUUGUGUCCUAAGGCAGGAAGCUACCUCCUCUCUAGGUUCUGGUGAGAAAACUCUACAGUCCAUGUUUGUGUUGGUCCCUGAAGAGAAGUCAGGGAACCCGAGUAGAGUCAGCACCUCCAGCAUGGCAGUCGCCAUCUUCUGCCAUGGCUAAGAAUCAUGGGAAGGAAGCUUAGCUCAGUGGGGCUGUGAGUUGUGAAACUCCAUCCUGAUGAUGGCAGUAGAGCUCCAUAGAGGAGCUGAUGAGCAUUUGUCUCCCGCCCUUCCUGUCUGAAAAAACGCCCUCCAGAGACAAAAGGUCCAAAGAAGAUGGCUGUCUGGAAUUUGUCUAGUUCUAACAACUUGUGUCUUGUUUUCCUGGUUCAGUCAAAGUGAGACCUAAGUUUAGCAGAAUUAUUGUGUUAACUCCUGCGGUGCCAUGGGUACAGAUGUGAUCAUUGCUUACACAGCAUGACUUAGGCAUUUGAGUUGUUUUUUUCUUAGUGUGUUCUGUUUUGUUUUUUCUUAGACAGGGUUUCAUUGUAGCUUUUGGAGCCUGCGCUUAACUAGCUAUUGUAGACCAGGCUGGCCUCGAACUCACAGAGAUCUGCCUGCCUCUGCCUUAGGAGUGCUGAGAUUAAAGGCAUGCUUCACCAUCACCCAGAGGCAUUUGAGUUUUAUAUACUGCUACAAGUGACUGGGUGGAGUAACUAAUAGACACACAGUUCAUGCCACUGGUCCUUUCCCAAUGUAUAAUUUUGGAAGAAACAUCCAUGGCAGUAAAUCUUACCUAUGGGGAUGGAAAUGUAGAAAAAAGAGUCUUAAUAGUUAUUGAGAUCUAUUUAUUUUGCUGUAAUAGUUUUAUUAAUCAUUUUACUGAAUAAUUUUAAUGAAUGCGAUUCAGUUCAAUGUUUUUAAUGCGUUAAUAUUGGUUGUAAAAUAUCAAAUGUUUUCAGUGAUUUGGUGUUGCCUACGUACUUCAGAUCCCACAAUUUAUUAGAGAAAAAAGGAACUUUCUAAAUCCUGCCCCUAGUACCUUUACAAAAUCUGUGUGUUGCAUUCACAUGUUACGUGUGAAUCAACUUUAUAUACUUCUGUAACUCUAAAGUGAAGUAUUUUUAUAUAUUAUAUGACAUCUAAAUAAU